CCUACGGGUGGCAGCAGUGGGGAAUAUUGGACAAUGGGCGAAAGCCUGAUCCAGCCAUGCCGCGUGUGUGAAGAAGGCCUUCGGGUUGUAAAGCACUUUCAGUGGGGAAGAAAGCCUUGGGGCUAAUACCCUCGAGGAAGGACAUCACCCACAGAAGAAGCACCGGCUAACUCCGUGCCAGCAGCCGCGGUAAUACGAAGGGUGCGAGCGUUAAUCGGAAUUACUGGGCGUAAAGCGCGCGUAGGCGGUCUGAUAAGCCGGUUGUGAAAGCCCCGGGCUCAACCUGGGAACGGCAUCCGGAACUGUCAGGCUAGAGUGCAGGAGAGGAAGGUAGAAUUCCCGGUGUAGCGGUGAAAUGCGUAGAGAUCGGGAGGAAUACCAGUGGCGAAGGCGGCCUUCUGGACUGACACUGACGCUGAGGUGCGAAAGCGUGGGUAGCAAACAGGAUUAGAUACCCCAGUAGUC
rnacentral:rRNA from 1 species